rfam:Bacillus solimangrovi strain GH2-4 NODE_3_length_212875_cov_1.77818_ID_2008, whole genome shotgun sequence.
AGGUGAUGUCUCCUUACCUGUAUCAAUGGAGGCACUCGGCUAUGUUGUGGGUAAAAAGAAAUGCAACCUUAGACACGUAAGUUGUCAAUAACAUGGUGUGAGGUAGGGUUAGAUGCCCU